ACCUCUAAAGGAUAAAAGACAUCCGUUGGUCUUAGGAGCCAAAAACUCUUGGUGCAACUCCAAGUAGAGGUU
rnacentral:tRNA from 1 species